rnacentral:tRNA from 1 species
AGAUAAGAAUUGAUAUAUCAUAUUUGACUUCGACUCAAACCUAGGUUUUACCCUUAUCUA